AGCAGCCGCGGUAAUUCCAGCUCCAAUAGCGUAUAUUAAAGUUGUUGCAGUUAAAAAGCUCGUAGUUGAAUUUCGGGGUUAGUAGGUUGGUCGUGCCACUGGUACGUACUGGUCUCACUGAUUCCUCCUCUUGAAGAACUGUAAUGUUAUUAAUUUGGUGUUGCGGGGAAUCAGGACUGUUACUUUGAAAAAAUUAGAGUGUUUAAAGCAGGCUUACGCUUGAAUACAUUAGCAUGGAAUAAUGAAAUAGGACGUUUGAUCCUAUUUUGUUGGUUUCUAGGAUUGACGUAAUGAUUAAUAGGGAUAGUUGGGGGCAUUAGUAUUCAAUUGUCAGAGGUGAAACUCUUGGAUUUAUUGAAGACUAACUACUGCGAAAGCAUUUUGCCAAGGAUGUUUUCAUUAAUCAAGAACGAAAGUUAGGGGAUCGAAGACGAUCAGAUACCGUCGUAGUCUUAACCAUAAACUAUGCCGACUAGGGAUCGGAUGAUGUUAAUUUUUUAAUGACUCAUUCGGCGCCUUA
rnacentral:rRNA from 1 species